UACGUAGGGUGCGAGCGUUGUCCGGAAUUAUUGGGCGUAAAGAGUGUGUAGGCGGUGCUCUAAGUUCGGUGUGAAAUCUCCCGGCUCAACUGGGAGGGUGCGCCGGAAACUGGAGUGCUGGAGCGCGGGAGAGGAAAGCGGAAUUCCUGGUGUAGCGGUGAAAUGCGUAGAUAUCAGGAGGAACACCGGCGGUGUAGACGGCUUUCUGGACCGUAGCUGACGCUGAGACACGAAAGCGUGGGUAGCAAACAGG
rnacentral:rRNA from 1 species